UCAAAUAUAAAAUAAAUCUGUUUUUUAUUUUUACCUUUAUCUAUUUUCUUUGCCUCGACGUACAUGAAAAAAUAAAAUAAAAUAAAAAAAGUCUUAGAAAAAGUGGAUGUCUAGACGUAAGGAGUACGUGUGUAGACGUGGGAGUUAAUAUUGUGGGGGAGGUGGCUUUGGUUCUAUUAUAUAAGCAGGAGCAACAGCCCUCGAGAGAAUUACUACACGAACAGAGAAGGAAGCAGCUGAUCCUGAAGAGCAAGUAUCUAGCCUGUUAAAGAGAAUUAAUUAGCAGUUAAUCAGUCAAUCGAUCAAGAAGAUGUCAAGUACUAACUUCAUAGACAUCUUGCUGGCCAUCAUCUUGCCUCCUCUCGGUGUCUUCCUCAAGUUUGGUUGCGGGGCGGAGUUUUGGAUCUGCUUGCUGCUUACCAUUUUAGGUUACAUCCCUGGAAUCAUUUAUGCCGUCUAUAUCAUUACCAAGUGAUCGAUAUCACCCUCUUCUUCAUGAUCUCUUGUUAACAGCAGGUGGAGAGACACAGUACCGUUUGAUCCAAUAAAAGAGUUCCUGGCCGUCUGAUUCAAUGAAGAGCUCCUGAUUUUGUGUGGAGGCGGAUGAUUAUAUACACUCCCUUUUCAUAAUUGUUUUUCUUUUUAAUGUAUUAAUUGAUAUUUUGUAAUUAAAUGAGGUUAGCAGCCCUUAAUAUUGCUGAGUGCCUUAUCAUGCAUGCAUGGCCUGGUUAAUUAGCAAGUCUCUUUCGUUCUUAAUCUCUCUGUCUUUGCUGUGGACAUCCGAAUUUGUUUUAAUUAGUUAAUGGGAUUGUCAAUCU